AUUGAACGCUGGCGGCAUGCCUUACACAUGCAAGUCGAACGGUAACGGGCCUUCGGGUGCCGACGAGUGGCGAACGGGUGCGUAAUACAUCGGAACGUGCCCGAUCGUGGGGGGUAACGAGGCGAAAGCUUUGCUAAUACCGCAUACGAUCUACGGACUAAAGCAGGGGGCCGCAAGUCCUUGCGCUGCCGGAGCGGCCGUUGCACGAUUAGGUAGUUGGUGGGAUAAAAGCUUACCAAGCCGACGAUCUGUAGCUGGUCUGAGAGGAUGAUCAGCCACACUGGGACUGAGACACGGCCCAGACUCCUACGGGAGGAAGAAGUGGGGAAUUUUGGACAAUGGGCGCAAGCCUGAUCCAGCCAUGCCGCGUGCAGGAUGAAGGCCUUCGGGUUGUAAACUGCUUUUGUACGGAACGAAAAGCCUUCUUUUAAUACAGGAGGGUCAUGACGGUACCGUAAGAAUAAGCACCGGCUAACUACGUG
rnacentral:rRNA from 1 species